rnacentral:misc_RNA from 1 species
AAGUCGUAACAAGGUUUCCGUAGGUGAACCUGCGGAAGGAUCACUACAAAUCUUAGAGGGAGAGUUGAGAGACUUUCUCUUAUUGUUCGGUGCAGCAAUGCACCGUUAACACUUGCGCUUGUAUGUAUGUCAGAGUAAGGUAGUAUUUAUAAAAAAGACAACUUUUAACAAUGGAUCUCUAGGCUCUU